ensembl:snRNA U6 U6 spliceosomal RNA
GGGCUCUCUUCAGCAACACAUAUGCUAAAAGUAGAACGAUACAGAGAUUAGCAUGGUCCCUGUUCAGAGAUGACAUGCAAAUUCAUGAGGCAUUUCAUAUUUUU